rnacentral:lncRNA from 1 species
UCCCCUUGCUGUUGCCAUCACUCUGAUAUCUCUUACCCUCGUUUCGGGCUAAUUUGAUUUAAUGAUCCUCAGCCUCCGGUAGGCCGCGAUUUACUCUGGUAUUAUGGGCAAGGUUUGCCUAUCAGGCUGUAUAUACUACGUGUUAUGCAGUUUACAAGGCAGCGCUAAAGCACGGGGCUCUUUACGCACACCGGAGGGACUCGCGUGUCGUUUCGGAAAACGGCGAGAGGACCGGAAGCCACUCGACGCUGCCGCUCUCUAAUGCAACUCCCGUCCAGGAACCGAGCGUGCGCGUGUCUGUUACGUGCGUCCUCAACGCUCCCCCGCGGCACGUACACACACACGCGCGCACACCGAUACGCUCCAGUCACCCGCAUUUGCAAGCGGCAAAAACACUCACUUCCUUUCCUGCGCUUUCAACAGCAUGACAGUCGAAGCUGCAAACCAGAGUCCAACAGUGUCACGUAACAGCAUGCUACUCUCACUCGUCGCACCGAUAUUAAGCUGCUAGGCUGUGGCGCACCCUUGAACAAACUGCGCCGAUACUUUGCAGGACAGCGCACUUCCGUUUGCCAAGUGGAUCAAGCAGGAAACAAAGCUCCGGGAACCAACCAUGACCUCAGCCAUGCUCGUCGUGUGCACCUUGCUCUUCCUCGCUUCCAGAAGCGAUGCCGCAGAUGGCAAUGCCGGAAAUGACAAUACGCAAUGCAACGACAACGACGUCCUCCUGGCGGACAGCAACUGCAUGGUGAUAUGCAACGGAAGUGUGUCUGCGAACAACCACAAAGCCGCAGAUGGAACGAAGUGCCGGAUUUCUGAAGUGAACAAUCGUGG